rnacentral:rRNA from 1 species
AUUGAACGCUGGCGGCAGGCCUAACACAUGCAAGUCGAACGGUAACAGGAAGAAGCUUGCUUCUUUGCUGACGAGUGGCGGACGGGUGAGUAAUGUCUGGGAAACUGCCUGAUGGAGGGGGAUAACUACUGGAAACGGUAGCUAAUACCGCAUAACGUCGCAAGACCAAAGAGGGGGACCUUCGGGCCUCUUGCCAUCGGAUGUGCCCAGAUGGGAUUAGCUAGUAGGUGGGGUAACGGCUCACCUAGGCGACGAUCCCUAGCUGGUCUGAGAGGAUGACCAGGCACACUAGAACUGAAGAACGGUCCAGACUCCUACGGGGAGCAACAGUUGGGAAUAUUGCACAAAGGGCGCAAAGCUGAUGCAGGCCUGCCGGGUGUAUGGAGAAGGCCUUCGGGGUGUAAAGUACCUUCAGCGGGGAGGAAGGGAGUAAAGUUAAUACCUUUACUCAUUGACGUUACCCGCAGAAGAAGCACCGGCUAACUCCGUG